rnacentral:rRNA from 1 species
GACGAACGCUGGCGGCGUGCUUAACACAUGCAAGUCGAACGGAAAGGCCCUGCUUUUGUGGGGUGCUCGAGUGGCGAACGGGUGAGUAACACGUGAGUAACCUGCCCUUGACUUUGGGAUAACUUCAGGAAACUGGGGCUAAUACCGGAUAGGAGCUCCUGCUGCAUGGUGGGGGUUGGAAAGUUUCGGCGGUUGGGGAUGGACUCGCGGCUUAUCAGCUUGUUGGUGGGGUAGUGGCUUACCAAGGCUUUGACGGGUAGCCGGCCUGAGAGGGUGACCGGCCACAUUGGGACUGAGAUACGGCCCAGACUCCUACGUGAGGCAGCAGUGGGGAGUAUUGCACAAUGGGCGGGAGCCUGAGGCAGCAACGCCGCGUGCGGGAUGACGGCCUUCGGGUUGUAAACCGCUUUCGCCUGUGACGAAGCGUGAGUGACGGUAAUGGGUAAAGAAGCACCGGCUAACUACGUG